rnacentral:rRNA from 1 species
AUGUGUCCCACCAGAGGAGACAGAUCCUCCUCGGGAUCCGUCCAGGAGCGGCAAAUCAGAUCCGCUCCGGGAUCGGAGCCCAACGCAGGCACAGGCGAGCGUGCGGUCUCCCCUGAUUCCCGCAGUGCCGGUCCCACGAGCGACACGCGGGCCUCGUCCGCUGGCUGCGCUGGCUUCCCUGCUCCGCGUCAAUCGCCGCCCUCCACUUGGCCGGCUCCGGGUGGCCCAGACGCUGCGCGCCACCCCAUCCAACCGGUGACGUACAAGAGGCGUACAGGUACGCGGUCCAGGGAGGGCGCGGGGCCUGGUGCGGGCCCGACCGCCCCUGGCACGGAAACUCGCGCAGAUCCAGGCGCAGAUCCGACCGGCGCGGAAACUCAAGUGGAUGUGGCAGCUCCGGGAUCUUAUGUGGCUGCUUCAGGCGUCCCGCCUCGCGUUUCAACCGCAGAAGAUCCGACGCCGCUGGGUGGCGCUGCUGCUACUGCUGCCGAAUCCUCCUUGGGUUCUGGUCCAGCCAAUGAUUUGGGGACUACGGGAUCCUUUGUGGCAGCAGAUAUGAAUGCUCAGCAGCCACGUCGUACACGCCUUCAACAAGGGAAAAUUCAACCUAUCAACUACAAGCAUAUAUCCAAGUAUGGUAUGGUCUGUUCCACAGGUGAACCAGAUGAACCUAACACCCUUGAAGCAGCAUUGUGUGAUGAUAGGUGGAAUAAAGCCAUGAAUGAAGAGUAUAUGGCAUUGAAGAAAAACAAAACAUGGCAUUUGGUUCCCCCACAGCAAGAGGAUGGAGUCUCAGACAGCUUGAUGUUCAGAACGUGUUUCUCCAUGGUGUUCUGGAAGAGGAAGUGUACAUGA